rnacentral:tRNA from 1 species
GAGGGUAUAGUUCAGUGGUAGAGUGCAUGCUUAGCAUGCACAAGGUCCUGGAUUCAAUCCCCAGUACCUCCA